UGCCGCCACUAGCACUCCUGGCUCUUCCGGCGUCGUCGACCGCCUAAUCGGAUCAUGGCCGCGCCCCGCGAUCCCCUCUUGACCCGGGGACAAAUAUGAUCCUCCUCCUCCUCACCCCCGUUCCCGUGGGUCGAGCCGCCGCCUCCUCCUGGUCAUCUCUGUUGUUCCCUUUUGGCUCGCAUCCGUUCGCGGGGCAGUCCUCUAUCAUCCCUAUGCUUCAUGGCGGAAGGAUUCAUUUGUCUUUGCCCAAUCGCCGCCUACUUCCGUCGGUGCAGCUCUAGGAGAGAGGAUGGGGUGGAAGAUCUAUAUGGUUUAAGAGCCACAUCCCACGUCGACAUGAGUUGUAGGUAUAUCUCGCCUCUGUUCUCUUAUGUGUUGUACAUCCCAGGAGAUAGUCAUGGUGUUAUUGAUGAGAUCCCUCCAGCAAAUAUGGUACCAAUCACACGGCUGCUGCUGAUUAGGAGCUACACUACAUAACGUGCUGCACCAUGAUGUGGUUCUGUGGUGAUGUUGUUAUAAAAAACACCUUCAGCUUGUGUUCAAGGUAGUGAUAGACCUCCUACUGGAAACAUGACAAUGGCAAACCCAAUGGUUUCAGAAGGACUAAAAAGGAAGUAUUCAACAUAAAAAGGUUAUCUAAUGUAGUGGUAAUGUUUUUCUUCUUAUAGUGUCUGAUAUGCUUUUCUUCUUAUGAACCUAUACUGCAGUGGUAAUUUCCUGAGCGUGCAUGUACAAAUUAUAUCAUAAAUUCAUAAUAUACUCUAUAUUGUAUCUUUAGUUUAGUGCUCACUUCUGUUGUUUUCAUUGAAUUAAGUGAAAUCUUGAUGAUGUUGCACUUUGAAGUGCUAGUGAUGCCUAUGCGUCCACUGAAUCAACUGAAUUUGUACUGAUUUUGUAGUUGAUAUCAUGGUAACAGUAAAUACUCUUCAAAUCGUUGACAUAUAAUUAAGUUUGUAAUGUACGACCAAGUGCAGCUCCAUUUACCUUCUGUGAUCCUUAUUGUGUUUUAGAAUUAUAAUCCAUUUUAUUAGAAAAUUCUUGAUAGCCAGAUGUGUCGAGGCCUUGGGACAAGUGCUAUCUGUAGAUUCUGCAUGGACUUUGCCUGGCUACGGCUGUUGGAAUACUAGGAUAAUCUGACAAAUAUUGAAGAAAGAUAUCAUGUAAAUGAUCAACAUUAAAUUUGAGCAUGUGAAAGGAAGCAAAAGUUUAAAUGUUCCACUGGAAGUAGAAUGAAAUUCAUUUACACUUAUUUACAGAUAUUUCGAUAUUCUAUAGAAUUCAAUCGAAGACAGCACAUUUAGCGGACUCAAUCCCUACGGCUGUUUGUAUGCUAUUUAGUAUUACCAUUUAUUUCAUUUCCUAACUAAUUGAAAUCCUUGUUAGCACUCUUGUUCAUGAAUGUGAUGCACUCCACAAGAUAAGUACACCAGGAUUACCUAAUUCUUUGUUCCAACCAUGACAGACCAUUGGGUAGGGAAGAAUGUGACUACUUAUUAA